UACGUAGGGUGCGAGCGUUAAUCGGAAUUACUGGGCGUAAAGCGUGCGCAGGCGGUUCGUUGUGUCGGUGGUGAAAGCCCCGGGCUUAACCUGGGAAUUGCCAUGGAAACUGGCGAACUGGAGUGUGGCAGAGGAGGGUGGAAUUCCGCGUGUAGCAGUGAAAUGCGUAGAGAUGCGGAGGAACACCGAUGGCGAAGGCAGCCCUCUGGGCUAACACUGACGCUCAGGCACGAAAGCGUGGGGAGCAAACAGG
rnacentral:rRNA from 1 species